GACGAGCGCUGGCGGCGUGCUUAACACAUGCAAGUCGAACGGAAAGGCCCUGCUUUUGUGGGGUGCUCGAGUGGCGAACGGGUGAGUAACACGUGAGUAACCUGCCCUUGACUUUGGGAUAACUUCAGGAAACUGGGGCUAAUACCGGAUAGGAGCUCCUGCUGCAUGGUGGGGGUUGGAAAGUUUCGGCGGUUGGGGAUGGACUCGCGGCUUAUCAGCUUGUUGGUGGGGUAGUGGCUUACCAAGGCUUUGACGGGUAGCCGGCCUGAGAGGGUGACCGGCCACAUUGGGACUGAGAUACGGCCCAGACUCCUACGGGAGGCAGCAGUGGAGAAUAUUACGCAAUAGGCGGAAGCCUGAUGCAGCAGCGCCGCGUGCGGGAUGACGGCCUUCGAGUUGUAAACCGCUUUCGCCUGUGACGAAGCGUGAGUGACGGUAAUGGGUAAAGAAGCACCGGCUAACUACGUG
rnacentral:rRNA from 1 species